AAUUAUGGACAAUGGGGGAAACCCUGAUCCAGCCAUCCCGCGAGUAUGAUUAAGGACUUCGGGUUGUAAAGUACUUUUGGCAGAGAAGAAAAGGUACCUAAUCAUACGCGGUCCAGCUGUCGGUAUCUGAAGAAUAAGCACCGGCUACCUACGAGCCAGCAGCCGCGGUAAUACGUAGGGUGCAAGCGUAAAUCGGAAUUACUGGGCGUAAAGCGUGUGUAGGCGGUUCGGAAAGAAAGAUUUGAAAUCCCAGGGCUCAACCUUGGAACUGCAUUUUUAACUGCCGAGCUAGAGUAUGUCAGAAGGGGGUAGAAUUCCACGUGUAGCAGUGAAAUGCGUAGAUAUGUGGAGGAAUACCGAUGGCGAAGGCAGCCCCCUGGGAUAAUACUGACGCUCAGACACGAAAGCGUGGGGAGCAAACAG
rnacentral:rRNA from 1 species